UGAUCCUACGGGGGGCAGCAGCGGGGAAUAUUGGACAAUGGGGGGAACCCUGAUCCAGCGACGCCGCGUGAGUGAAGAAGUAUUUCGGUAUGUAAAGCUCUAUCAGCAGGGAAGAAAAUGACGGUACCUGACUAAGAAGCCCCGGCUAACUACGUGCCAGCAGCCGCGGUAAUACGUAGGGGGCAAGCGUUAUCCGGAUUUAUUGGGUGUAAAGGGUGCGUAGACGGGAAAUUAAGUUAGUUGUGAAAUCCCUCGGCUCAACUGAGGAACUGCAACUAAAACUGGUUUUCUUGAGUGUUGGAGAG
rnacentral:rRNA from 1 species